rnacentral:rRNA from 1 species
GGUUGAAGCUAGCGGCAGGCUAACCAUGCAAGCGAACGGAUAUCGGUUAGCUUCUCAAGAUGGGGAGAGNGGUGCACGNUUCUUAACACGUGCCAUCCACGUCGANCAGGGAUAGCCUCUCGAAGAACCAUAAACACCGUACAGGAGAACGGAGGGAUNUUCGGUUUUACUAUUUAUGGACAGAGGUCGGGUCGCUUUGUUUAGGGGUAUGGCACACUAAGGCCAUACUAUGUAACGAUUAGGGGUCUCAGACAAACUUCCUAAACCCUGCCAAACUCUACGGGAGGCAAAAGGAGGAUAUUGACAAUGUUGGAACUUGCCAACAUCCCCAUAUGCCGAGGCAUAUGCUGCCCAUCGGUUUUGCCGGCUGAGGAUAUCCUCCUGCUUUUUGAGGUAAUUAGGAAGAUAGGUCUCACCCUGCCGGGG